AUGUCCAUGGCGGUGCCGAGCUCGCUCCGCGCCCUGGCCCCUCCGGCUCUGCUCCCGUACCCUCUGGGUACGAGCGGGUCCGCGCGCCCGUCGCCGGCGCACCGGGCGGCGCGGGGGAUGAUGGUGGCCCGGCGGAGGGGCGUGGCGCUUGCGGCGGCGGCGGUGGCGGCGGACGCGGGGUGGCUGGAGCGGCUGCCGGAGAAGGAGAAGCCGCUGUACGCGCACAGCCUGCCGUGCAUCGAGGCGUGGCUGCGCAGCGUCGGGUUCGCGCAGUCCCGCGAGGACCGCGCCGUGUGGGUCGCCGAGACGCCGGUCUGGCACGCCCGCCUCAGCCUCGACGUCACCGACCUCCACAUCAGAUACCUGAAGAGCGGCCCCGGGAACCUGGAGAAGGACAUGGAGAGGAGAUUCAGCUACGCCCUGAGCAGACAAGACAUCGAGAACGCCAUCCUCGGCGGACCUUGA
rnacentral:rRNA from 1 species